AAAGAGACUUCAGGAAGACCACUAUGGAGGAGUUGAAAAUAAAGUCAAGCCAAAUGAGGGUCCGUGCCGGAGGACGUACUGUGGCCGGGGUCGGGAGUGUGUGGUCAGGAAUGUGACGGGCCGGGUCGAGUGUGUGUGCCAGGAAAGGUGCCACACUUCGUUUGUUCCCGUGUGUGGCUCCGAUGGACGUUUUUAUGAGAACCACUGCGAGCUGUACCGCACCGCUUGCCUGCAGCGCAGGAGGAUCUACGUGGUCCACAGCAAAGACUGCUUCUUCAG